UUCCCGUCUGCGCCCCGCUGGGUCCCGCGGCUACCCGAGAGGCAGGCGGGAGACUCCCGGAGCGACCAAUAGGAGGGCCUCAAGUGGACCGGUCCGCCCGCAGGGGAGAGAGGGAGACUUCCGGGUGGGCUCUCCCUGCAAAACUCUGGGAGCCAAAGUCCAACCUCCCCUUCCCAAGGAGCAAAUGGAUUGGUCCCAGGCAAGCCGGUGGGCGGUAGCGAUACUUUUCAGAUUGUCCACAGAACGCUAGGUGUCGGGCGGCCGCGUGGCCUAAUGGAUAAGGCGUCUGACUUCGGAUCAGAAGAUUGCAGGUUCGAGUCCUGCCGCGGUCGUAAGAGCUAAAUUUCACCGAAGUAAAGUUCCCUGAGAGGAGACAAGGCUAUACAGAAGAUUCUUAAUUUGCAAAGUGCUCUGCAGUUUUCAGUUUGCAAACCCCUGUGAUUCCAUCUUAGUUCCACCACUAUUUAUGAUACUGGAGGUAUCUGUGACACAGGGGAACAGAGAAGAGGAUGGGAAUGGAGGCCAAGUUCCAGCAGACAAGAUCUAGCGGACACGCCCGGUCCAUCAUAUUUGCACCUAUGACAUGUGUCAUCUUCUGCCUGGCCCAGGACCUGGGAGUAUGCACAUGGCUCCAGCAUCGAGGGAAGGGGCUGGUUCUUCAUCACCUUGGACCUCCUGAGCCAGGCACAGAGUCUGAGGAGAAUGAGUACUCCAUUGAUGUUUCAGGCCAAGUUUUCCACCCAUUUCUGUGGGUUCCCAGGGAUUAGGAUCCAGAACAGGGGCCGCCAGGCUCCCCUUAAAAACUGCCAGCAAGCCGCCACCACCUCCUUACUCCUACUCCCAGGAAUCAAGAGGUCAAGGGGAGGAGCUGCUGAGCACCAGGGCCUGGGACAGGAACCCCCUCAGCUCAGGGACCAGCAGCACCUUGGAAAGCAGAGGGCAUGGGCUGGCAGGAGGUCAGGCCCGGACCAGGCAGAGGGAGGAAGCUGGAAACCCUGCUGGUGAAGCCUGGUGGCUCCAGACAAGGGGUAUGCCCAGUGGGGGGGGGGUGCGUGGCCACAACAUAUUACUACAGGAGUCCACGGGAAGAGAAGACAGGGUCAGCUCUCCCUCUUUAGGUUUUCAGAGAGGUUCCAUGGCCCCCAGAAGGAAGCAAAGGCCACUGAAGUGUGACUAGUGUCUGAGAGGCAGGGACCCAAGGAGGACUAUGUCCCUGUGUCAGAGAGAACAUCAUGGCUUCCCUGACCUGCCAGCAUGGGGCUCCUCGCCCUUCAACUAUAUGUUGGUGGAAUUUGGCCGUUCUGGUUCAUCCUCACUCAGGGCCUCAUCAUGAGUGGGUCAGCAUGUGUUGGGUCCCCUCAGUAACCCAUACCUGGCAGAGGGCAGACCCUGCCCACCCAGUCAAGGUUCUCUAGCCUUCUACCAGUCCUGGGUCUGAUGGGCUAUGAAGAGACCAAGGGACAGAGAAUCUAAGAUCCAGCGGGUGGGGGCAGAAAGGGGAGGGAGGGCCUUGUGGCAGCUGCUGACGCACUCCAGUUCUGGUCAGGAAUGGCAGAGGGCUCCCAGGGCCUUCCCCAGGGUGGGGGGGCGGAGAAGCAGACUCCCCGCUCAGCAGGGAGCCCGAUGAUGAUGUGGGGCUUGAUCCCAGGACCCUGGGAUCAUGACCUGAGCCGAAGGCAGAUGCUUAACCGACUGAGCCACCCAGGUGCCCUAGGGAUUUUUUUUAAACAGUAGCUAGAAGAGGGGGUCAGGUCUUAAGUCCGGGUGAAUGUACAAUUAAAGCUGCCCUAGCCGUGCAUCUGUGGUGUGGAGAAAGCUGGUCUGAUCUGCAGAAAGGAAAGAGAAGGGCCGGACAAGACCCCAGUGACAUCAGGUUCCUGAUGUCCCUUCUCCUGCUGCAGUUUGACAAUAGGAGCCAAUAAAUUCCCCCUUUGUCUGCCAAAACUGGUCUGAAUCAGGUUUCUGGUGCUUGUAGCCAAAAGAAUUCUAAGUGAUUGGCCUUCCCCUCUGUAAAUGAAAGGGGUUAAUGGGCUGGGUCUGUGGGGGUGCCAAAGCCCUUGCACCACCACCACCACCCCCCUGGGCCCUGGAGUGAGCUGGAAUCUGGCCUGACUGUGAAGGCAUUGGGACCUUGAUAUAGACCAUUCCUCUCAAUGUCAGGCAGACUAGCUCAGCCUUGGAACACUGCAGCCAGGAGGUUGGGCCAAAUGAGGGUAAGGCACUUGGCUACCUUCUCCGGCCCUAUCCUGACAUUACCUGCCCUGCGGCUGGGCCAGCCAGCUCAGGGGAAGUAGGCACACAA